GACGAGCGCUGGCGGCGUGCUUAACACAUGCAAGUCGAACGGUGAACGAGGGAGCUUGCUCCCUCCGGAUCAGUGGCGAACGGGUGAGUAACACGUGAGCAAUCUGCCCCGAACUCUGGGAUAAGCGUUGGAAACGACGUCUAAUACCGGAUACGACGCGGGAGGGCAUCCUCUCCGCGUGGAAAGAACUUCGGUUCGGGAUGAGCUCGCGGCCUAUCAGCUUGUUGGUGAGGUAACGGCUCACCAAGGCGACGACGGGUAGCCGGCCUGAGAGGGUGACCGGCCACACUGGGACUGAGACACGGCCCAGACUCCUACGGGAGGCAGCAGUGGGGAAUAUUGCACAAUGGGCGCAAGCCUGAUGCGGCAACGCCGCGUGAGGGACGACGGCCUUCGGGUUGUAAACCUCUUUUAGCAGGGAAGAAGCGAAAGUGACGGUACCUGCAGAAAAAGCACCGGCUAACUACGUG
rnacentral:rRNA from 1 species